rnacentral:rRNA from 1 species
CCCUUAGACGUUCUGGGCCGCACGCGCGCUACACUGACGGAGUCAGCGAGUAUAAACCUUGGCCGAGAGGUCUGGGAAAUCUUGUGAAACUCCGUCGUGCUGGGGAUAGAGCAUUGUAAUUAUUGCUCUUCAACGAGGAAUUCCUAGUAAGCGCAAGUCAUCAGCUUGCGUUGAUUACGUCCCUGCCCUUUGUACACACCGCCCGUCGCUACUACCGAUUGAAUGGCUUAGUGAGGCUUCCGGAUUGGUUUAGAGAAGGGGGCAACUCCAUCUUGGAACCGAGAAGCUAGUCAAACUUGGUCAUUUAGAGGAAGUAAAAGUCGUAACA